UGAACGCUGGCGGCGUGCCUAACACAUGCAAGUCGAGCGGUAACAGGUGUAGCAAUACAUGCUGACGAGCGGCGAACGGGUGAGUAAUGUUUCGGAAUCUGCCCAAUGGUGGGGAAUAACCAGCCGAAAGGUUGGCUAAUACCGCAUACGUCCUGCGGGAGAAAGCGGGGGAUCGCAAGACCUCGCGCCGAUGGAUGAGCCGAAACCGGAUUAGCUAGUUGGUAGGGUAACGGCCUACCAAGGCGACGAUCCGUAGCUGGUCUGAGAGGACGACCAGCCACACUGGGACUGAGACACGGCCCAGACUCCUACGGGAGGCAGCAGUGGGGAAUAUUGGACAAUGGGGGAAACCCUGAUCCAGCGACGCCGCGUGUGUGAAGAAGGCCUGCGGGUUGUAAAGCACUUUUAGUGGGGAUGAAAAGCUCAGGGCUAACACCUCUGGGUCUUGACCUAACCCACAGAAAAAGCACCGGCUAACUCUGUGCCAGCAGCCGCGGUAAUACAGAGGGUGCAAGCGUUAAUCGGAAUUACUGGGCGUAAAGCGUGCGUAGACGGUAGCGUAAGUCGGAUGUGAAAGCCCCGGG
rnacentral:rRNA from 1 species